UACGUAGGGAGCAAGCGUUGUCCGGAAUCAUUGGGCGUAAAGCGCGCGUAGGUGGCUUCGUAAGUCCGUUGUGAAAGUCAAAGGCUCAACCUUUGAAAGCCGAUGGAUACUGCGGAGCUAGAGUACGGAAGAGGCGAGUGGAAUUCCUGGUGUAGCGGUGAAAUGCGCAGAUAUCAGGAGGAACACCGGUGGCGAAGGCGGCUUGCUGGGCCAGUUCUGACGCUGAGGAGCGAAAGCGUGGGGAGCAAACAGG
rnacentral:rRNA from 1 species